GGUCUGAGAGGAUGACCAGCCACACUGGAACUGAGACACGGUCCAGACUCCUACGGGAGGCAGCAGUGGGGAAUAUUGCACAAUGGGCGCAAGCCUGAUGCAGCCAUGCCGCCUGUAUGAAGAAGGCCUUCGGGUUGUAAAGUACUUUCAGCGAGGAGGAAGGUGUUGAGGUUAAUAACCUCAGCGAUUGACGUUACUCGCAGAAGAAGCACCGGCUAACUCCGUGCCAGCAGCCGCGGUAAUACGGAGGGUGCAAGCGUUAAUCGGAAUUACUGGGCGUAAAGCGCACGCAGGCGGUCUGUCAAGUCGGAUGUGAAAUCCCCGGGCUCAACCUGGGAACUGCAUCCGAAACUG
rnacentral:rRNA from 1 species